CACCUACCCCUCCGUUCCAUAAUUCUUGUCGAAAUAUUACAUGUAUCUAGACACAUUUUAGGAAUAGAUACAUCCAUUUUGGAUCAAAUUUGAGACAAGAAUUAUGAAACGGAGGGAGUAUUAC
rnacentral:pre_miRNA from 1 species